AUUCAGAUGAACGUCACGGCAGGGGCCAUGGGGCGGACCAGGGACCAGAGAGAGGGGUGUGGGAUAGACCUUUUCAAAUGGGGAUUCCGCAGCUCCUCCUCUAGAAGAUGAUGUUGAUGCAGGACGGGUUUGUGCGUGUACCGAGGACCCAGCAUACCUAUUUAGGGAGUUUGUGGCAGAAGACAAAAUCCACAUCCAUAGGAGACUGCAGCUGGAAUCUACAUUGUCAAAUGCUACCAGCCAACCAGAAGAUAUACUCUGGAUCGUCUUGACAGGCCAGCAGGUACUGCAGGAUCUGGACAGCGUUGCCAUGUUGUUUGGCGUAAUGUAUGCACUGAAUCUCAACUACCCUUCAGAUUUGAAGUGCUCCAGAAAAUUGUGAUGGACCUGGAAGGCACCGUGCUCGAAAGUGCAAGUUCUCAAAAACAGACUCUGUGAAUGAGCUGUUCCAAUGAAUGGACAAUGGACUGCCUCCUGUGUUUUUAUUUGUUUUGAGAUUUAAAGUGAGUUGAGAGGCUUUGCAUGUUGUAUACUCUUUAUCCAGGCCUUUGUCAUUGUUUGCUUACUACAGUAUAACAUAAUAAAAAGCUUAGAUUAUGAAUACUAGAACCGGCACAAUACAUCAGGUUUGAUUAGGUUUGACAACCUAAAUUUGUGAACUACUGGUGUAAAAGGUCCCAAUGUGAUG